rnacentral:tRNA from 1 species
AUCACUUUAGUAUAAUCAAUACAAACGACUUCCACUCGUUUAAUCUUACAAAUAAGAAGUGAUA